UACGUAGGGGGCUAGCGUUGUCCGGAAUCAUUGGGCGUAAAGCGCGUGUAGGCGGUCCGGUAAGUCCGCUGUGAAAGUCGAGGGCUCAACCCUCGAAUGCCGGUGGAUACUGUCGGGCUUGAGUACGGGAGAGGCGAGUGGAAUUCCUGGUGUAGCGGUGAAAUGCGUAGAUAUCUGGAGGAACACCGGUGGCGAAGGCGGCAUCCUGGACCGGUAUUGACGCUGAGGCGCGAAAGCUAGGGGAGCAAACGGG
rnacentral:rRNA from 1 species